UACGAAGGGUGCAAGCGUUAAUCGGAAUUACUGGGCGUAAAGCGUGCGCAGGCGGUUUUGUAAGCCAGAUGUGAAAUCCCCGGGCUUAACCUGGGAAUGGCAUUUGGGACUGCAAGGCUGGAGUGUGGCAGAGGAGACUGGAAUUCCCGGUGUAGCAGUGAAAUGCGUAGAUAUCGGGAGGAAUACCGAUGGCGAAGGCAGGUCUCUGGGCUGACACUGACGCUCAUGCACGAAAGCGUGGGGAGCAAACAGG
rnacentral:rRNA from 1 species